GUCCUUUAGAAUAAAAUUUAAGGUCUAACCUGCCCAGUGAAAAAUUUUAAAUGGCCGCAGUAUAUUGACUGUGCAAAGGUAGCAUAAUCAUUAGUUUUAUAAUUGAAAGCUAGAAUGAAUGGUUGAACGAAAUAAAUUCUGUCUCAUAUUUUUAUAUUUGAAUUUAAUUUUUAAGUUAAAAAGCUUAAAUUUUUAUAAAAGACGAGAAGACCCUAUAGAUCUUUAUAUUAAUUUAUAUAAUUUUUAUUAAGAUUAUUUAAUUAUUUAAUUAAUUUAAUAUUUAAUUGGGGUAAUUUAAAGAUUAAAUAAAUUCUUUAUUUUUAUAACAUUAAUUUAUGGAAUUAAAAUCUUAUAUUAUUGAUAAAAGAACAAGUUACCUUAGGGAUAACAGCGUAAUUUUUUUAAAGAGUUCAUAUCGAUAAAAAAGAUUGCGACCUCGAUGUUGGAUUAAAAUUUAUUUUAGGUGAAGAAGCUUAAAAAUUUGGUCUGUUCGACCAUUGAAAUUUU
rnacentral:rRNA from 1 species